rnacentral:tRNA from 2 species
CAUCAAGAAGCUAAACUAGCGUUAACCUUUUAAGUUAAAGACUGAAAGCAUAAAACUUUCCUUGAUGA